CACACACACUCAUACUGCUCACUCACGCACACAGCUCACACACUCAGCGGACCUAUUCUUUUUUCUUGCGCAUGCAAAUAUCUAUUUAGCAAAACUCACCUGACAUGUUGAUGCGUCGAUUCUCCAACAACCAAUGACGUUUACAUAUAUCCUCGAAAUGACCAAAUUCAGUGUUGCCUUACUCUGAAAUCAAAUUUUUUGUUUGUGGCCACAACUAAAAGUAAAC